rnacentral:rRNA from 1 species
GAAACUUACCGGGUCCGGACACACUGAGGAUUGACAGGCAAUCAUGUGUUUUGUUUCUUUUUUAUUUUUUUAAAUUAGACAAACGCAUAUAAAUUAUGCUAGUCCUUUCAUGAUUAUGUGAUAGGUGGUGCAUGGCCGUUCUUAGUUCGUGGAGUGAUCUGUCUGCUUAAUUGCGUUUCAUUAUGGACUUAGAAUUAUAGUGUGUUUAUUUUUUUUCUCAUAUAUUUAUUUUUUUAAUUUAUUUUAUGAUUUAAAUAGAUACACGUCUAGUCCUGAAAGCAACGAACGUGACCGCAUCCUCUUGUUGCCUUUUAACUUAAGACUUUUUUUAAUUUUCAUUUUUUUUUUUUUUUAAGAAUUAAUAUAAUUAUUUAUAGUUUUAUAACAUAAGAGGCUUUAUUAAAACUAGAGGGACCGCUGUGACUUUUUUUAAACCAGAGGAAGGUUGCGGCAAUAACAGGUCUGUGAUGCCCUUAGAUGUUCCGGGCUGCACACGUGCUACAAUGAUUAUUGCAGUGAGCAUCUCAUUUUUUAUAGCACUGUUGUUUUAUUUUUUUUAUUUAUUUAAAAAAAAUACGCAGUCAAAGCCUGCUUCGAAAGUUCGCAGGUAAUCAAUUGGAAGUAAUGAUUUCCCUUAACUCAAAUUAAUUUUUGAUUUUGUGAGCACACAAUAUGCUGCUCCCCUCCCUGUCAUUUAGCGAUUUUUUUGUCUAUUUGACACUGUGUGUGGGGAUGUUUUCAGCAUGUGCUUUUUGUCAAUUCAUGGUGGGGACAGACCAUUGUUAAUUGUUGGUCUCGGUCUCAACUAGGAAUGCCUUGUACGGGUCUUUGGUUCAACAAACCACCCGGAAUACGUCCCUGCCCUUUGUACACACCGCCCGUC